AACGAACGCUGGCGGCAUGCCUAACACAUGCAAGUCGAACGAGACCUUCGGGUCUAGUGGCGCACGGGUGCGUAACGCGUGGGAAUCUGCCCUUGGGUUCGGAAUAACUCGCCGAAAGGCGUGCUAAUACCGGAUGAUGUCGUAAGACCAAAGAUUUAUCGCCCAGGGAUGAGCCCGCGUAAGAUUAGGUAGUUGGUGAGGUAAAGGCUCACCAAGCCGACGAUCUUUAGCUGGUCUGAGAGGAUGAUCAGCCACACUGGGGCUGAGACACGGCCCAG
rnacentral:rRNA from 1 species